GGCGGGAUACUCAAGUGGCCAAAGAGGACCGGCUGUAAACCGGUUGGCUUGUCCUUCCCAGGUUCGAAUCCUGGUCCCGCCA
rnacentral:tRNA from 1 species